rnacentral:rRNA from 1 species
AUUGAACGCUGGCGGAAUGCUUUACACAUGCAAGUCGAACGGCAGCACGGGGGCAGCCCUGGUGGCGAGUGGCGAACGGGUGAGUAAUACAUCGGAACGUGCCCGGUCGUGGGGGAUAACGUAGCGAAAGUUACGCUAAUACCGCAUACGAUCUGAGGAUGAAAGCGGGGGACCUUCGGGCCUCGCGCGAUCGGAUCGGCCGAUGUCAGAUUAGGUAGUUGGUGGGGUAAAGGCCUACCAAGCCGACGAUCUGUAGCUGGUCUGAGAGGACGACCAGCCACACUGGGACUGAGACACGGCCCAGACUCCUACGGGAGGCAGCAGUGGGGAAUUUUGGACAAUGGGCGCAAGCCUGAUCCAGCCAUUCCGCGUGCAGGACGAAGGCCUUCGGGUUGUAAACUGCUUUUGUACGGAACGAAAAGGCUCUGGCUAAUACCUGGGGCUCAUGACGGUACCGUAAGAAUAAGCACCGGCUAACUACGUG